CAGACCAGGGUGGGUUUGCUUUUUAACAGGGAAACAACGAAAACGACAUCAUCUUUAAACACGGAGCUGACGAGGAGGAGCCUUGUAACGUUAACAGGGAAACACCUAAGUUAAAUCUAGGUCCUGCAUCUUUGACUCGUGACCUGCUCGUGAC